rnacentral:rRNA from 1 species
GACAGGGGUGGCAAGCGUUGUUCGGAGUAACUGGGCGUAAAGGGUCUGUAGGUGGUUUUUCAAGUCUUUGGUAAAACGCCGUGGCUCAACCAUGGUUUGGCCAAGGAGACUGGGAGACUCGAGGCUGGGAGAGGGAAGCGGAAUUUCUGGUGUAGCGGUGAAAUGCGUAGAGAUCAGAAAGAAGGCUGGUGGCGAAGGCGGCUUCCUGGAACAGACCUGACACUGAGAGACGAAAGCGUGGGGAGCAAACAGGAUUAGAUACCCUGGUAGUCCACGCCCUAAACGAUGGGAACUAAGUGUGGGGAGCAAUCCCCGUGCCGCAGCUAACGCAAUAAGUUCCCCGCCUGGGGAGUACGGCCGUAAGGUUGAAACUCAAAGGAAUUGACGGGGGCCCGCACAAGCGGUGGUGCAUGUGGUUUAAUUCGACGCAACGCGAGGAACCUUACCUGGGUUUGACAUGGCGCUGGUAGUGAACCGAAAGGGGAACGACCCCGCAAGGGGAGGCGUCACAGGUGCUGCAUGGCUGUCGUCAGCUCGUGCCGUGAGGUGUUGGGUUAAGUCCCGCAACGAGCGCAACCCCCGCCCUUUGUUGCUACCGGGUAAAGCCGGGCACUCGAAGGGGACUGCCAGCGAAGAGUUGGAGGAAGGUGGGGAUGACGUCAAGUCAUCAUGGCCUUUAUAUCCAGGGCGACACACGUGCAACAAUGGCCGGUACAGACGGAGGCAAGCCCGUAAGGGGGAGCAAAUCCGAGAAAGCCGGUCUCAGUUCGGAUUGAGGUCUGCAACUCGACCUCAUGAAGUCGGAAUCGCUAGUAAUCGCGUAUCAGAACGACGCGGUGAAUACGUUCCCGGGCCUUGUACACACCGCCCGUCACACCACGAAAGUCUGUUGUACCCGAAGUCGGUGUCCGAACCCCGCAAGGGGACGAAGCCGCCCAAGGUAUGGCCGAUGAUUGGGGUG